UACAGAGGUCUCAAGCGUUGUUCGGAUUCAUUGGGCGUAAAGGGUGCGUAGGCGGCGCGGUAAGUCGGGUGUGAAAUCUCGGAGCUUAACUCCGAAACUGCAUUCGAUACUGCCGUGCUUGAGGACUGGAGAGGAGACUGGAAUUUACGGUGUAGCGGUGAAAUGCGUAGAUAUCGAGAGGAACACCAGUGGCGAAGGCGAGUCUCUGGACGACACCUGACACUGAGGCACGAAAGCCAGGGGAGCAAACAGG
rnacentral:rRNA from 1 species